rnacentral:rRNA from 1 species
UCCGACCUCAGAUCGGACGAGAUUACCCGCUGAAUUUAAGCAUAUUACUAAGCGGAGGAAAAGAAACUAACAAGGAUUUCCCCAGUAACGGCGAGUGAAGCGGAAAAAGCCCAGCACCGAAUCCCUCAGUGUCAUGCUGACGGGAACUGUGGUGUGUGGGACGCCACCAGUCGCAUCGGAGGGUGCCGAAGUCCUCCUGAUCGGGGCUUCACCCAGAGCGGGUGUAAGGCCUUUGCAGGUGCUUCUCCGUGCGGCCGCGAGCGUCUCAGAGUCGGGUUGUUUGGGAAUGCAGCCCAAAGCGGG